CGUAUAUUUGAUAUAUUAUUUUUCAAUAUUACACAGUUAAUAGGCAUUUAUUUUGAAAAGUAACUAAAUCUUUAAUUAAUAGUUUUUCGUUUAAUUAAUUAAGUAAGUGAAAAAGGUAAUUACUUCAGUAGCAGUCCUUUUAAAAACUUUUUACCCUCCCCCUCCUUCAGUCAUGUGAGGAGGGGGAGGGGUGCAAGGUGCGCAUCUGUUGGACGCGGUGGUAUCUGGUGAACGAACAACGGUUAUUGCGUACAACGGACCUCGAUGCUGCUUCUUCAGCACCGGAUGGUGCCGUGCGCGUUGAAUGUUCUCCAUUCAGAGACUUUGAACUUAGUGCAUUACGCGCAAUCUGAAAAGGCUGGCUGAAGGCUACUCCUCCCCCUCCUUUAAGAUGAAUUAAGGAGGGGGAGGGAGUAUAUAACUGAGCAGCUGUAGAGCUCGAUGGAGAACGCGCCACAAGUACCUAACAAAUGCCUACUUGUGACAUUUUAGAAGGUCCUCGGUGCUUGAUUCUUCAGCUCCUGACGGGCGGUUCUGUGCGCGUUGGAAGUUUCACUUGAAGCUUCAGAGACUUUUAAACUAGUAUAAUACGCGCCAUCUAAAGAGACUGGUCUGAAGUUAGCCUCUCUACUAUAUAACCUUUAAAAUAUAAUAAUCAACUAAUUUCUGACCGGCCGACUUAGAUCGCCCGUAUUGUAAUUAAGAUAAAUUUAAUGUUGCUUUGUUAAAUAUGUUCAUGUAUCUAACAAAACAACCGGUUAUUACUACUGUAAGUUACUAUUAUAUAUAGUUCAGGGCGGGGACGUAUUCACUUGACGAUUCCCAGACCUUGACUCUAGUAUUAUACGUACAAGUUAUCAAGAAAUGUUUGAAAUCGACACAUUUAAGCCACUAAACAUCAAACAUAGAUAUUGUAAUUAAGGUUAACUUAAUGUUAGUUGGCCCCAAGCUAUUACUGCAUGUUACUAAUGUAUGCGGUAUUACUAAGGAUUUCCCUGCGCGUAGUAAUGUAAGCAAUAGCGAAGGUAUGCCCUCGAUUUCUUCGCUACUAUUAAAUGCAACGUAUGUUGCAAUUAAACCAUUAAAUAUUGUAAGGUUCAUUUAAUGUUGGUUUGUUAAAUAUAGCCAAAUAUUUAACAAAACAACCACCAUUAACUCUCGCCGUAAGUUACUAACUAACCUAGUAUUGUAAUCGGUAGGUAUGGUAUGCCCUUCGGUAGUUAAUUUAAGGACAAAAAAAAU